rnacentral:lncRNA from 1 species
CAGGAAGGUUUUUUUCUCAAGAAGAGCUUACAUGUCCAGGGUGCUGAUCUUUUAUGUUUGAUAGAUACUCAAAGAUUAGUUUUCCUACUUAGUACCUUGAAAUGUUCUAUUUCCUACCGUUUUUUGUCUUACUCUUCUUAAAGAUACUGGUUUGCUUUUGGUUUUUAAAUCAGUGCUAAGAGAUGAUUAAAAUUAUACUUCGCUUUUCUACAUGUUCCAGUUCACUCUUAAGAGAUAUGCUUCUCAUGGUGUUGACCAGAUUUCUUGGAAGAUGUGACUGCUGCAGAUAGUACCAACAAUAUCUGGGCAGAAUUACUAAAUUCCUUACAAGGAAGACCUGGUUGACUACAAGUGCUGUCUACAUAGCCCAGGUUUUUGGUUGGCUAGUAUUAGGUUCCACCACAUCAGCAUUUGCAGUGGAAAACAAUUCUAAUGGAAGAUAAAAACCAGACCAGUUUUACUUACAGUCUUAGAACUUGAGGGUGUGGGUUGAGAAAAGUGGAAACAGGUAAAAUCUGUGUCUUUUCUUUCAGAGAUUUCACACAGAAGUGGGAGAUGGGAGAAUCAGUCCAGCAUGUGGAGUGACUACAUUUGUUUGGUUCAGUCCGAUUUCAUUCAUUUCACUCUUUGCUACAUUCUAAGGCUCAUCCGUCAGUGUGCUCUCCAUCCCUUAACAGAGGCAGGCAAACCACAAGCAGUGAUCAGUGGAGAAAUCGUCAGUCCUUAUCACCUUUGCACUCCUCCUGCAACAUGA